AUUGAACGCUAGCGGGAUGCCUUACACAUGCAAGUCGAACGGAGUGGCGAACGGGUGAGUAAUGUAUCGGAACGUGCCCAGUAGCGGGGGAUAACUACACGAAAGCGUAGCUAAUACCGCAUACUAUUGGAGCGGCCGAUAUCGGAUUAGCUAGUGGGGGGGGAAACGGCUCACCAAGGUGACGAUCCGUAGAUGGUUUGAGAGGACGACCAGCCACACGGUGACUGAGACACGGCCCGGACUCCGACGGGGGGCAGCAGGGGGGAAUUUUGGACGAUGGGGGAAAGCCUGAUCCAGCCUGCCCGCGUGUGCGAUGAAGGCCUUCGGGUUGUAAAGCACUUUUGGCAGGAAAGCGGUACCUGCAGAUGAAGCACCGGCUAACUACGUGCCAGCAGCCGCGGUAAUAC
rnacentral:rRNA from 1 species